UCGGGAAUUUUGGGCAAUGGGCGAAAGCCUGGCCCAGCAACGCCGCGUGAGGGAUGAAGUAUUUCGGUAUGUAAACCUCGAAAGAAUGGGAAGAAUAAAUGACGGUACCAUUUAUAAGCUCCGGCUAACUACGUGCCAGCAGCCGCGGUAAUACGUAGGGAGCAAGCGUUGUUCGGAUUUACUGGGCGUAAAGGGCGCGUAGGCGGCGCGGUAAGUCACUUGUGAAAUCUCUGAGCUUAACUCAGAACGGCCAAGUGAUACUGCUGUGCUAGAGUGCGGAAGAGGCAACCGGAAUUCUUGGUGUAGCGGUGAAAUGCGUAGAUAUCAAGAGGAACACCUGAGGCGAAGGCGGGUUGCUGGGCCGACACUGACGCUGAUGCGCGAAAGCCAGGGGAGCAAAC
rnacentral:rRNA from 1 species